AGAGUUUGAUCCUGGCUCAGGAUGAACGCUGGCGGCGUGCCUAAUACAUGCAAGUCGAGCGAACGGACGAGAAGCUUGCUUCUCUGAUGUUAGCGGCGGACGGGUGAGUAACACGUGGAUAACCUACCUAUAAGACUGGGACAACUUCGGGAAACCGGAGCUAAUACCGGAUAAUAUUUCGAACCGCAUGGUUCAAAAGUGAAAGACGGUCUUGCUGUCACUUAUAGAUGGAUCCGCGCUGCAUUAGCUAGUUGGUAAGGUAACGGCUUACCAAGGCAACGAUGCAUAGCCGACCUGAGAGGGUGAUCGGCCACACUGGAACUGAGACACGGUCCAGACUCCUACGGGAGGCAGCAGUAGGGAAUCUUCCGCAAUGGGCGAAAGCCUGACGGAGCAACGCCGCGUGAGUGAUGAAGGUCUUCGGAUCGUAAAACUCUGUUACUAGGGAAGAACAUAUGUGUAAGUAACUGUGCACAUCUUGACGGUACCUAAUCAGAAAGCCACGGCUAACUACGUGCCAGCAGCCGCGGUAAUACGUAGGUGGCAAGCGUUAUCCGGAAUUAUUGGGCGUAAAGCGCGCGUAGGCGGUUUUUUAAGUCUGAUGUGAAAGCCCACGGCUCAACCGUGGAGGGUCAUUGGAAACUGGAAAACUUGAGUGCAGAAGAGGAAAGUGGAAUUCCAUGUGUAGCGGUGAAAUGCGCAGAGAUAUGGAGGAACACCAGUGGCGAAGGCGACUUUCUGGUCUGUAACUGACGCUGAUGUGCGAAAGCGUGGGGAUCAAACAGGAUUAGAUACCCUGGUAGUCCACGCCGUAAACGAUGAGUGCUAAGUGUUGGGGGGUUUCCGCCCCUUAGUGCUGCAGCUAACGCAUUAAGCACUCCGCCUGGGGAGUACGACCGCAAGGUUGAAACUCAAAGGAAUUGACGGGGACCCGCA
rnacentral:rRNA from 1 species